CGACUCUCGGCAACGGAUAUCUCGGCUCACGCAUCGAUGAAGAACGUAGCAAAAUGCGAUACUUGGUGUGAAGUGCAGAAUGAGUCUUUGAACGCAAGUUGCGCCCGAAGCCAUUCGGUCGAGGGCACGUCUGCCUGGGCGUCACGC
rnacentral:rRNA from 1 species